rnacentral:rRNA from 1 species
AACGAACGCUGGCGGCAGGCUUAACACAUGCAAGUCGAGCGCCCUCUUCGGAGGGAGCGGCGGACGGGUUAGUAACGCGUGGGAACGUGCCCUUCUCUACGGAAUAGCCCAGGGAAACUUGGAUUAAUACCGUAUACGCCCUUAGGGGGAAAGAUUUAUCGGAGAAGGAUCGGCCCGCGUCUGAUUAGGUAGUUGGUGGGGUAAUGGCCUACCAAGCCGACGAUCAGUAGCUGGUUUGAGAGGAUGAUCAGCAACACUGGGACUGAGACACGGCCCAGACUCCUACGGGAGGCAGCAGUGGGGAAUCUUGGACAAUGGGCGCAAGCCUGAUCCAGCCAUGCCGCGUGAGCGAUGAAGGCCUUAGGGUUGUAAAGCUCUUUCGCCAGGGAUGAUAAUGACAGUACCUGGUAAAGAAACCCCGGCUAACUCCG